UGAGGAGCAGGGGAUGCCCUGAAGUCUAAUUCCCAACCCACUCUAACACAGCCUGGCCAACUGUUGUUGAGUGUUUGACUGUUUCUCCUUCUGCUUUCCUUCUUCAUCUCUCAUUUCUGAGAUCAGCUACAAGAAGGAAGACAGUCAUUCAUUUACAUCCUACUGAGAAAAAAAUUCAAAAACACAGGAAAUCCCAAAGUCACCUCAGGAUAAAAGAGAGAUGAUUUAUAAACUCAUAAUCACCAGUUUUUGAUAUGUUUCAUCAUUAGUCAAGCUGAGAGAACAAAUUGGAAUCUAAGCGUCUGAAAGAUUGCAACUUUUGGAGUUCUCUGCAUAUUAGGUUAUGCACUUCUGCACCAAACUAGCACUCAGCAUUACAUCCAGGUCAAAGUCUGGCCUAUUUGUUUACAUACUGUUUACAUUAUGAUAGCAUUUGCUGGCAACCAUAUUGCAAAGAUGUUCUCCCCAUCAUUUGCUUGGCAUCUUUCCAUUUCUUCAUAUACUGUAUAUUUUCCAGUCCCUCUUCUAAUAAUUGAUUUAUUAUAAGUACCAUCAAAAAGAAUAACAGUGAUUCAUAUGACCUGCUGAGCCACCAGAAUGUGACAUAUUGUAUAUGAUUAUGCUUAAGUCACAGUGGUGUAAAUCACCACCCAGUCUCUAUUAUUUCAGCUGUUUCCUAGGAUUAGUGCACCUAGUUGUUAAUAAACUCCUUUUGCUUUUGCUGAGCUCCUCCCAAUAGAUAAGAUUAAAGAAUGGAAAUAUAUUCUGUACAAUGAAUACCAAUAUAGGUAUGCCUCCUUUUUAAAUUAGUUCAUUAUGCAGCAAUAAUAUUACAGUAUAUGAAACUAGUUCCUAAUUCAGAGCUGGAUACUUAUUUAUUGUUGGUAUUCAUCUUCAGCUCCCUUAUUACCAGUACCAUUAAAAUAUCAUAAAACUAGGAAGAAUUGCUAUACUUUAAUAUACUCCUUCAUUAGUGAACAUUAUCCAUCUGACACAUUUUGUAAACACCAGAGCUUCAUUGAACUGUUUAUUCAGGAUAACCUGGUCCCUCCAGGAAGGAGAAAAAAAAAAUCAAUACUAUUUACCUCCAUGAGGAAGGGGGAGAAAAGAAGAAAAAAUGUCAGUAUUUAUACUUUGAUAUGAUUUUGAAAUUUUUUUUAUGCAAAGGCUAGUUUGAUCAGAGGGCUGUGCUCUUGGCUCUAUUGUAAUUAAAGUCCCCUAAGCCAGUGAAUAUAUUAAAAUAAUUAUUAUUUGUUUUGCUUACUGUGCUUAAACUAUAUUUGUGUGUAUAUGCAAAUAUGUCUUAUUUUUAAUGUCUAAAUAUAUGCAAUUUAUAUAUUACUUCAUUAAAAUGUCUAAAGUA